AGUGAACGCUGGCGGUAGGCCUAACACAUGCAAGUCGAACGGGGCAGCAAUGCCUAGUAGCGGACGGGUGAGGAAUACGUAGGAAUCUGCCCUUAAGUGGGGGAUAACCAGGGGAAACCCUGACUAAUACCGCAUGAUCUCUUCGGAGCAAAGAGGGGGACCGCAAGGCCUCUCGCUUCUGGAUGAGCCUACGUCUGAUUAGCUAGUUGGUAGGGUAAAGGCCUACCAAGGCGACGAUCAGUAACUGGUCUGAGAGGAUGAUCAGUCACACCGGAACUGAGACACGGUCCGGACUCCUACGGGAGGCAGCAGUGGGGAAUAUUGGACAAUGGGCGCAAGCCUGAUCCAGCAAUGCCGCGUGUGUGAAGAAGGCCUUCGGGUUGUAAAGCACCUUAGCCUGGAAAGAAAAAACUUUGGUUAACACCCAAAGUCUUGACGGUACCAGGAGAAUAAGCACCGGCUAACUCUGUGCCAGCCGCCGCAGUAAGAC
rnacentral:rRNA from 1 species